GAUGAACGCUAGCGGGAGGCCUAAUACAUGCAAGUCGAACGGUAAGUUAGUUGCUUGCAACUAACACGAGUGGCGCACGGGUGAGUAACGCGUACGCGACCUGCCCUCAAGAGGGAAAUAGCCCUGGGAAACCGGGAUUAAUGUCCCAUGUGAUUGUAUUUCUAAGGGAUAUAAUUAAAGGAGCGAUCCGCUUGAGGAUGGGCGUGCGUGCUAUUAGCUAGUUGGUGAGGUAAUGGCUCACCAAGGCGACGAUAGCUAGGGGGCGUGAGAGCGUGACCCCCCACACGGGUACUGAGACACGGACCCGACUCCUACGGGAGGCAGCAGUAAGGAAUAUUGGACAAUGGGGGCAACCCUGAUCCAGCCAUCCCGCGUGCAGGAAGACGGCCCUAUGGGUUGUAAACUGCUUUUAUUAGGGAAGAAUAGCAUCAAUGAAUUGGUGUAUGACGGUACCUAAAGAAUAAGCACCGGCUAACUCCGUGCCAGCAGCCGCGGUAAUACGGAGGGUGCAAGCGUUAUCCGGAAUCACUGGGUUUAAAGGGUGCGUAGGUGGAAUAAUAAGUCAGGCGUGAAAGGUUACAGCUUAACUGUAGACUUGCGUUUGAUACUGUUAUUCUUGAAUUAAGAUGAGGUUGGCAGAAUGCGACAUGUAGCGGUGAAAUGCAUAGAUAUGUCGUAGAAUACCGAUUGCGAAGGCAGCCAACCGGACUUAAAUUGACACUGAGGCACGAAAGCGUGGGGAGC
rnacentral:rRNA from 1 species